rnacentral:misc_RNA from 1 species
UCCGGUUUGGCACCGGCAGUCUUCCUAGAGUCCCCGCCAUUACGCGCUGGCAACUAAGAACAGGGGUUGCGCUCGUUGCGGGACUUAACCCAACGUCUCACGACACGAGCUGACGACAGCCAUGCAGCACCUGUGCACGAUCUCCGAAGAGGGGCUCUCGUUUCUCACGGCUUUCCCCGAGAUGUCAAGCCCAGGUAAGGUUCUUCGCGUUGCGUCGAAUUAAACCACAUGCUCCACCGCUUGUGCGGGCCCCCGUCAAUUCCUUUGAGUUUCAGCCUUGCGGCCGUACUCCCCAGGCGGGGCACUUAAUGCGUUAGCGCCGGCACGGAGCCCGUUGAUAAGGCCCCACACCUAGUGCCCAACGUUUACGGCGUGGACUAC